rnacentral:lncRNA from 1 species
AAUUGCAUAGGAUUUGAUAUAGACUAUACAUAACCCAAGGUCAAUUUCUCGUGCAUAAGAGGAAAGGAUUUUCUUACCCUUAUGGAGUAAACCUAUAGCAUACCUCAAGGUGGACCUGUCGGUGAAAGUCUGAUUGUGAUUUGUUUUCUCGGUCGUAGACUAAACUCAAGGAUAGAGUACACAUAUGAUGUAAAGGGGAAGCAAGACUGGAGCUAAACAUGAUACUACAUUUAAAUACCUGAAUUUAAGAGAGUGCUUUCAGGGCUAGUGCAUCUCCAUGCAGGGGUGGAGACAUAGUGUUCUUCCAAAUGCUCGAUGAGAAACCGAAGAGAGAAAUUUGGAACUUUGUCUGGCAUUCAGGUUUUUAAAAAUGUCCUAUGACUUGUAAUAACUGGUUUUUCUGUUUACUAAUCAGAUUUACCCACAUAUAUCAUAAAAUAGUAUUAAACUUAUUUAGUGAGAUAACUGAGUUUUAACUUAUGUGGGCUAGAUGUAUGAUUUAUAAAUUUAUAAUUUAUAGUUUAUAAAUUUAUACAUGAAUGUAUGAGUUCUUCAGAUUUUCUGAAAUGUCGAAAAUGGCUUCCAUGCCUCCUCCUCCCUCAGGGGACAUCUGCUCGGGAGGCCUUGUUUUGGUGUCUCCUAGCCGAGCUUUCCUUUCCCCCUUGCUCCCAGUUCAGGGAUCUUCUCUAUAAUCACCCAGCUCCAAGGUCAUCUAGUUUAAAAUGUCACCAGGCUUGAGGACUGGAACAUCCCAGCAGAAGGGGAAGGGCUUUUUAUCUUGGGGAACCUGCACAGGCCCAAGCACAGUCUGAGGACACGGUGAGGGUGUUGGAGGCCAUGCUCGGUUGCAAGGGUGUCUGCCUUCACUUUGGUU